rnacentral:lncRNA from 1 species
AACUGUUAGUACAAUCGACUUCUCUGAGCUUAAACUUCACAAAGUUGAUCCCAAAACCAAUUCUGAUUUCUAAUUCUUAUCAUGGACUAAAGGUUUAAUUGCUGGUGGAUUGUUUGGUUGAGGUUUGAGUUAGUUUGGUUAUUUGAAAUUGGUGUUGGUUGUGUGAUUUGCAUUUCCUAGGCUUGGAAAGUGCAGAGAUUACUGUUCCAUUGACUUGGGGGUCUAUUCACUAUUUCCUCGUUGAAUCUGGGAUUAUUUAUCACUCCUGUUGGUUUUUUUGCUUUGUGGUUGUUUGCUCAUAGGGUUCUUCUUCAUUUUAGGUAC